UGGGGCCGCGGUCCCCACGGCGACACCAGCUUCACCUGCACCUGGAGGGGAAACAAAGACACCCGGUCAGCACCACCGGCACCACCACCCCCGCCCCGGGCCGUAGGGGCGGGGGCGGCACCGAGUGGGGCCAGAAGCCCCGAGCAGGCACGCGCCAUCCCAUCGCCCCUACCGCCCCCACCGCCCGCCGCCCCAUUGUCGCGACUCCACGGACUCCCCCCCCCACCCCCCGUCCUCCACGAUGACGCCAUUUCUGUCAGAAGAAAACUCACAACAAGCCCGGGGUCCGGCGCGGCCUGAAGCGCGGCUGCAAACCCGUCCGAGCCUUACGGAAACGCGAUAGCCGGAGUCCCGGGACUGAGCCCUCCGUGAACCGGAGGGCCCUCCGGCUGCGGAGGCUCGGCCCCGCAGCGCCCGCCCGCCCGCCGGCGUCCCGCCCGAGCCAGGGCCCACAAGUGGGAGCCGGGACCAGGCGCCGAGGACAUCCAGCUCCCAGCACGGCCGGCCGAGGCCGCCGGGGCCCACGUCAGCAGAUGGCUCUAGUUACCUGGAUUUGCCAUCAAGUCUGACAACCUGAGUUGUUCUAUCCAUGAGAUUCACAUGAUGCAAGAGAACUGAGUCCCUGUUUCUAGAUCUUGUGGACUACACUAACCAUCACAGGUCAGCUUUGAAAUUUAUUAAACAUGGAGAAAAGUAAAGAGAAAGCUGAAAGAAUUCUUCUAGAGCCUUAUAGGUACUUACUUCAAUUACCAGGUAAACAGGUGAGAACCAAACUUUCACAGGCAUUUAAUCACUGGCUGAAAGUUCCAGAAGACAAGCUACAGAUUAUCAUUGAAGUGACUGAAAUGUUGCAUAAUGCCAGUUUACUCAUUGAUGAUAUUG